GUAAAUACGACCCCCUAUAGGGCGAAUUUGGGCCCGACGUCGCAUGCUCCCGGGCCCGUCAUGGCGGCCCGCGGGAAUUCGAUUAGAGUUUGAUCAUGGCUCAGAUUGAACGCUGGCGGUAGGCUUAACACAUGCAAGUCGUGCGAGAAAGUAUCUUCGGAUAUGAGUAGAGCGGCGGACGGGUGAGUAACGCGUAGGAAUCUACCUAGUAGAAGGGGAUAGCCCGGGGAAACUCGGAUUAAUACCGUAUACCUCCUUCGGGAGAAAGAAGGCCUCUCUUUGAAGCUUUCGCUAUUAGAUGAGCCUGCGUAAGAUUAGCUUGUUGGUGAGGUAAAGGCUCACCAAGGCGACGAUCUUUAGCGGGUCUGAGAGGACGAUCCGCCACAUUGGGACUGAGACACGGCCCAGACUCCUACGGGAGGCAGCAGUGGGGAAUAUUGGACAAUGGGCGCAAGCCUGAUCCAGCCAUACCGCGUGUGUGAAGAAGGCCCUAGGGUUGUAAAGCACUUUAAGUUGGGAAGAAAAGUUAUUGGUUAAUACCCAAUAACCGUGACAUUACCAUCAGAAUAAGGACCGGCUAAUUCCGUGCCAGCAGCCGCGGUAAUACGGAAGGUCCAAGCGUUAAUCGGAAUUACUGGGCGUAAAGCGCGCGUAGGUGGUUUAUUAAGUUGGAUGUGAAAUCCCCGGGCUCAACCUGGGAACUGCAUCCAAAACUGAUUCACUAGAGUACGAUAGAGGGAGGUAGAAUUCACAGUGUAGCGGUGGAAUGCGUAGAUAUUGUGAAGAAUACCAAUUGCGAAGGCAGCCUCCUGGAUCUGUACUGACACUGAGGUGCGAAAGCGUGGGUAGCGAACAGGAUUAGAUACCCUGGUAGUCCACGCCGUAAACGAUGUCAACUAGCUGUUGGAAAACUAUGUUUUUCAGUGGCGCAGCUAACGUAGUAA
rnacentral:rRNA from 1 species